UAGAGCUCCAUGGCAUUAAUACAGUCACAUUCUUGUGCCGCCAUUGCUGCCUCCCGUCUCUAGACCUUUUUCCAUUUAGCACAACUGAAACUUCACACCCAUUCGACACUGACUCCCAUUCUCCCCUCCCCCCAGCCCCCGGCAACCACGACUCUACGUUCUGUCUCUGUGAAUCUGACCGCUCUGAGUACCUCAUGUGAAUGGAAUUGUACAAUGUUUGUCCUUUUGUAACUGGUUUGUUUCCCUUCUCAUGAUGUCUUCAAGGUUCAUCCAUGUUGCAGCAUAAAAUCCGAUAGUUUUGCAAGUCCUGGGAACUACCUGGAAAUGGAUGGAUAGAUGGAUCGAUGGAUGAAUGGGAGGGAGGAAGGAAGGGAGGAAGGACAGAUGGAAGGAAGGAUGGAUGGACAGAUGGACGGAUGGAUAGAAAGAUGGAUGGACAGAUGAAUGGACAUAUGAAGAGACAGAUGGAGGGAUGGAAGGAUGGAUGGAUGGAAGGAUGCAUGGCUGAAUGAACAAAUGGAUGGUUGGGUGGAUGAUUGGAUGGAUGGAAGGAUGAAAGUCAGUGCUGGCAUUCAGGUGGAUGGAUUAAAUGAACAAUGGUAAGAUAGGAUAUAGUCCAACCCGGAGUAGCUCACAGCCUGGGUAAGGAGUCAGGAGGGCAAAUACUCCCUUGACAAUAUCACAGGGUCCACCCUGGACACAUACACAAAAUCCCACUGGGAGGGCGUGACAAUGCCAGCUGCAGACGUCACAGACACUGCCAGCCUUCACAGCAACACUGCAGACAGGUGGUGAGGGCCAAUGCGGGUUUCUCUUUCUUGGGUGGAGGAAAAUGAAGCCAGGCACCCCAGACAGAGGGCACAGCAUGUGCGGAGGCCCAGAACCUGGAAAGCACAGGACACAGAAGCCAUGUUUUGUUUAAAAAGAUCGGCUAACCAUGAAAGAAUAAGCCAGCGCAUGUUGCAUUCCGAGAGUUUUAGCAGACCUGCUAGAGCCUCAAAUGCUGUUGGCACAAGACCUGCUUUCAAGACGUCAUGGCAAUUUCAGACGUCUGCCGUGUCAUGAGAAGCACCACCAUCUUCCUAUUCUGAGACACCCCUGCUUCACCACCUGCUCCUUGACCACUAAGUCAAGCUUCAUAGUUUGUGUUGUUACGGCAGUGCCCCACUCUGGUACCAACGCUGGUUUUAGUUAAUAUACCGACGCGGCUGCUGAACAAAAUCCAAAGAAGAUGGAUUAAACAAGAUGGAAGUUUCUCUCUUGGGUAACAGUCAAUCCAGCUGACGAGGGAGCUCCUUCAACUUUAUUGAAGUUGGCACCACACUCAAACAACUGCAAACAAGCCGG
rnacentral:lncRNA from 1 species